UACGAAGGGGGCUAGCGUUGUUCGGAAUUACUGGGCGUAAAGCGCACGUAGGCGGCCAUUUAAGUCAGGGGUGAAAUCCCGGGGCUCAACCCCGGAACUGCCUUUGAUACUGGGUGUCUUGAGUGUGGAAGAGGUCGGUGGAAUUGCGAGUGUAGAGGUGAAAUUCGUAGAUAUUCGCAGGAACACCAGUGGCGAAGGCGGCCGACUGGUCCACAACUGACGCUGAGGUGCGAAAGCGUGGGGAGCAAACAGG
rnacentral:rRNA from 1 species